AGAGUUUGAUCCUGGCUCAGAACGAACGCUGGCGGCGUACUUAACACAUGCAAGUCGUACGAGAAAUUCCGAUUCGUCGGGAGAGUAAAGUGGCGAACGGGUGAGUAACACGAGGGUAAUCUACCCUUAAAUUAGGGAUAACCUUGCGAAAGCGAAGCUAAUACCCGAUAAGACUACGAUCUUCUAGGAGAUAGUAGGAAAAGAUGGCCUCUGUUUCAUGCUAUUGUUUAAGGAUGAGCCCUUGCACUAUUAGCUUGUUGGUGGGGUAAUGGCCGACCAAGGCUACGAUGGUUAGCUGGUCUGAGAGGAUGACCAGCCACACUGGAACUGAGACACGGUCCAGACUCCUACGGGAGGCAGCAGUGAGGAAUAUUGCGCAAUGGGGGAAACCCUGACGCAGUGACGCCGCGUGAGUGAUGAAGGCUUUCGAGUCGUAAAGCUCUGUUAGGUGGAAAGAAAUAUUUCAGUGCCAAUACCACUGGGAUUUGACGGUACCACCAGAGGAAGCACCGGCUAACUCCGUGCCAGCAGCCGCGGUAAUACGGAGGGUGCAAGCGUUGUUCGGAAUUACUGGGCGUAAAGGGCGUGUAGGCGGUUAGGCAAGUCAGAUGUGAAAUCCCUUGGCUCAACCAAGGAAGUGCAUUUGAAACUGUUUAACUAGAGUACAGGAGGGGAAAGUGGAAUUCCCAGUGUAGAGGUGAAAUUCAUAGAUAUUGGGAGGAACACCGAUAGCGAAGGCGGCUUUCUGGCCUGAUACUGACGCUGAGACGCGAAAGCGUGGGGAGCAAACAGGAUUAGAUACCCUGGUAGUCCACGCCGUAAACGAUGUGCACUAGUGUAGGAAGUGUGACCCCUUUCUGUGCCGGAAGCUAACGUAUUAAGUGCACCGCCUGGGGAGUACGGUCGCAAGGCUAAAACUCAAGGAAUUGACGG
rnacentral:rRNA from 1 species